rnacentral:rRNA from 1 species
AGGAGCCAUCCCAUCAAGUUAGUAAGUAGGGUAAGGGCCUACUUAGACACAGACGGGUACGGGGAAUUAUCGUUUGAUUCCGGAGAGGGAGCCUGAGAGAUGGCUACCAGGUCCAAGGACAGCAGCAGGCGCGAAAAUUACCGAAGCCUUUAUUGAGGGCGGUAGUAAGGAGACGUAAGAAUGAUUUCGGAGUAAAAAACUGAAUAAAUACAGGAGGACAAGACUGGUGCCAGCACCCGCGGUAAUACCAGCUCCUGGAGUGUCUAUGAUGAUUGCUGCAGUUAAAGAGUUCGUAGUCGAGACUGAUUAAUAUGCGUGACAGACCUUUAAUCAAGAAGGGUAUAGCGAAUAUAGGCAGUAGAAUAAGGAGCGUUUAGGGGCCAGGUUAUUAAGCGACGAGGGGUGAAAUCUGGUGACUCGCUUAGGAGCGACAGAGGCGAAAGCGCUGGUCAGGAGCGAAUCCGAUGAUAAAGGACGUAGGCUAGAGGAUCGAAGACGAUUAGAGACCGUUGUAGUUCUAGCAGUAAACGAUGCCGAUACCGUUUUGCUAAUAAAUAUAUAAGCGAGAUGGAAAAGAAAUUUAGUAGGGCCCUGGGGAGAGUACACGCGCAAGCGAGAAAUUUAAAGGAAAUUGACGGAAGAACACCACAAGGAGUGGAGUGUGCGGCUUAAUUUGACUCAACACGGGACAGCUUACCAGGCCCGACGAUCGCAAGAGUGUGGUACACGAUAGAUCGGAGAGUGGUGCAUGGCCGUUAACGACGAUUGGGGUGACCUUUGGGUUAAGUCCGAGAAGUAGUGAGACCCCUGCAAAGGACAGGUGUUUAAAGCACAGGAAGGAAGGGUCAAGAACAGGUCAGUGAUGCCCUUAGAUGGUCUGGGCUGCACGCGCACUACAGUGGUCACAGAAAAGAAAAAAUAGAAAUAAAGGUGAUCGAGAGGAAAUGAGCUCUGUAAGGGGCUCAGGAACGAGGAAUUGCUAGUAAUCGCGGGCUCAUUAAGACGCGA